CGGAGUGUAGUAUAGUGGUAGUAUAAAUGCUUUGGGAGCAUUAGGUCCGAGUUCGAUUCUCGGCACUCCGACCA
rnacentral:tRNA from 1 species